GCCUGAGAUACCUUAGUUGGUAGCGCAUGAGACUCUUAGUCUUAAGGGUCAUGGGUUCAAGCACCAUGUUGGGCA